rnacentral:rRNA from 1 species
GACGAACGCUGGCGGCGUGCUUAACACAUGCAAGUCGAACGGAAAGGCCCUGCUUUUGUGGGGUGCUCGAGUGGCGAACGGGUGAGUAACACGUGAGUAACCUGCCCUUGACUUUGGGAUAACUUCAGGAAACUGGGGCUAAUAUCGGAUAGGAGCUCCUGCUGCAUGGUGGGGGUUGGAAAGUUUCGGCGGUUGGGGAUGGACUCGCGGCUUAUCAGCUUGUUGGUGGGGUAGUGGCUUACCAAGGCUUUGACGGGUAGCCGGCCUGAGAGGGUGACCGGCCACAUUGGGACUGAGAUACGGCCCAGACUCCUACGGGAGGCAGCAGUGGGGAAUAUUGCACAACGGGCGGAAGCCUGAUGCAGCAACGCCGCGUGCGGGAUGACGGCCUUCGGGUUGUAAACCGCUUUCGCCUGUGACGAAGCGUGAGUGACGGUAAUGGGUAAAGAAGCACCGGCUAACUACGUG